rnacentral:rRNA from 1 species
UACGGAGGGUGCAAGCGUUAUCCGGAUUUACUGGGUUUAAAGGGUGCGUAGGCGGAUAGGUAAGUCAGGGGUGAAAUCCUGGAGCUUAACUCCAGAACUGCCUUUGAUACUAUCUAUCUUGAAUAUUGUGGAGGUUUGCGGAAGAUGUCAUGUAGCGGUGAAAUGCUUAGAUAUGACAUGGAACACCUAUUGCGAAGGCAGCAGGCUACGCAUAUAUUGACGCUGAGGCACGAAAGCGUGGGUAGCAAACAGG